GACGAACGCUGGCGGCGUGCUUAACACAUGCAAGUCGAGCGAGAAACCUUCGGGUUUCUAGCGGCGGACGGGUGAGUAACACGUGGGUAACCUGCCUCAAAGAGGGGAAUAGCCUCCCGAAAGGGAGAUUAAUACCGCAUAAUAUUACAGCUUCGCAUGAAGCAGUAAUUAAAGGAGUAAUCCGCUUUGAGAUGGACCCGCGGCGCAUUAGCUAGUUGGAGAGGUAACGGCUCACCAAGGCGACGAUGCGUAGCCGACCUGAGAGGGUGAUCGGCCACAUUGGAACUGAGACACGGUCCAGACUCCUACGGGAGGCAGCAGUGGGGAAUAUUGCACAAUGGGCGAAAGCCUGAUGCAGCAACGCCGCGUGAGUGAUGACGGUCUUCGGAUUGUAAAGCUCUGUCUUUUGGGACGAUAAUGACGGUACCAAAGGAGGAAGCCACGGCUAACUACGUGCCAGCAGCCGCGGUAA
rnacentral:rRNA from 1 species